rnacentral:lncRNA from 1 species
AUGGUUCUUGCAUGCUUCCACCAGGAGCUAACAGAGGAAUUAGGGGAACUGGAGGCCAGCUCUGAUGAGGAGGCCAUGGUAACUACCAGGGUUGUCCAUCGGAGAGUGAUUAUCCAGGGAGAUGAUAUGCCUGAUGUUCCCCCAGAAACUGUCACAGAAGAGGAAUACAUUGAUGAGUAUGGACACACUGUGGUGAAGAAGGUUACCCGGAAAAUCAUUAAGCGGUAUGUAUCUUCUGAUGGCACAGAGAAAGAGGAGAUUAUGAUGCAGGGAACACCACAGGAGCCUGUCAACAUUGAGGAUGGGGACAACUAUUCCAAAGUGAUAAAGCGUGUGAUAUUGAAGAGUGACACCAAGCAGUCAGAGGUGAGGCCACCUAGCUCUGCAGGACUCAUUGAAUAGAAAGGGACAAAACAAAGCAGAACUACUGUGUCGGUCCCCUUGACUCCCAUUUCUCCACAUUAUGUGCCAGUUGGUUUUUGGUUAUACUAUUUUUUCCUUUGUCAUGAUUUUGUGUAAUUUUACAUUAGCAAGC